GCCUACUUAACUCAGU
rnacentral:tRNA from 1 species